rnacentral:rRNA from 1 species
GUGGAGCGGCCGAUAUCUGAUUAGCUAGUUGGUAGGGUAAAAGCCUACCAAGGCAUCGAUCAGUAGCUGGUCUGAGAGGACGACCAGCCACACUGGAACUGAGACACGGUCCAGACUCCUACGGGAGGCAGCAGUGGGGAAUUUUGGACAAUGGGCGAAAGCCUGAUCCAGCAAUGCCGCGUGAGUGAAGAAGGCCUUCGGGUUGUAAAGCUCUUUUGUCAGGGAAGAAACGGUGAGAGCUAAUAUCUCUUGCUAAUGACGGUACCUGAAGAAUAAGCACCGGCUAACUACGUGCCAGCAGCCGCGGUAAUACGUAGGGUGCAAGCGUUAAUCGGAAUUACUGGGCGUAAAGCGUGCGCAGGCGGUUUUGUAAGUCUGAUGUGAAAUCCCCGGGCUCAACCUGGGAAUUGCAUUGGAGACUGCAAGGCUAGAAUCUGGCAGAGGGGGGUAGAAUUCCACGUGUAGCAGUGAAAUGCGUAGAUAUGUGGAGGAACACCGAUGGCGAAGGCAGCCCCCUGGGUCAAGAUUGACGCUCAUGGACGAAAGCCAGGGGAGCGAAAGAGAUUCGAUACCCCCGUAGUCUUGGCCGUAAACGAUGACCACUAGGUGUUGGGGGAAUCGACCCCCUCGGUGUCGUAGCCAACGCGUUAAGUGUUCCGCCUGGGGAGUACGCACGCAAGUGUGAAACUCAAAGGAAUUGACGGGGGCCCGCACAAGCGGUGGAGUAUGUGGUUUAAUUUGAUGCAACGCGAAGAACCUUACCAGGGUUUGACAUCCUGCGAAUUCCUUGGAAACUAGGAAGUGCCUUCGGGAGCGCAGUGACAGGUGGUGCAUGGCUGUCGUCAGCUCGUGUCGUGAGAUGUUGGGUUAAGUCCCGCAACGAGCGCAACCCACGUCUUUAGUUGCCAGCAUUAAGUUGGGCACUCUAGAGAGACCGCCGGUGAUAAACCGGAGGAAGGUGUGGAUGACGUCAAGUCAUCAUGCCCCCUACAUCCUGGGCUACACACGUACUACAAUGCUACGGACAAAGGGCAGCAAACUCGCGAGAGCUAGCAAAUCCCAUAAACCGUGGCUCAGUUCAGAUCGUAGGCUGCAACUCGCCUACGUGAAGGAGGAAUCGCUAGUAAUCGCAGGUCAGCAU